CAUGCAGGCGGGUCGUUAAGUUAGGGGUGAAAUCCCGAGGCUCAACCUCGGAACUGCCUCUAAUACUGGCGAUCUUGAGUCCGGGAGAGGUGAGUGGAACUGCGAGUGUAGAGGUGAAAUUCGUAGAUAUUCGCAAGAACACCAGUGGCGAAGGCGGCUCACUGGCCCGGUACUGACGCUCAGGUGCGAAAGCGUGGGGAGCAAACA
rnacentral:rRNA from 1 species